GGAUUCCUUAUUCAAAAAUUAUAAAGAAUUUCAAGACGGCUACAGUAGAGCUUUAAACUAUGUGUCGGGGUCCUUCUAAAUGCAGGGCCCUGUGAGACUGCACAGAUCACACACCUGUGAAGUCAGCCCUAUAUAUGCAUAUGUAAGUGUGUAUGUGUGUGUUGUCGAGGACAUGUGUGCUUCUUCUUGGAGGAAUGCAUAAAGAUACCAUUGUCUUUUAUUCUUCCACCUCAAUUUUAGAGACUAGAUAAAUCUGCAUAUGAGGGCCUGGCCCCUUUUUAGUACUUUUCAGCCUCGGAUAGUGGUGGAAAACAUGUGAAUCCUAGUUCAAAUUUCCUCUCACUCUUUGUAGGGUUGUGAGCCCAUUAUGUAUUUUUUCUGUGCCUCAUCUUUUCAACUCGAAAAUGGGGACAUAAGGUACACUUAGUCAUGGAGUUAUUAAGGAGAUUAAAAUAAAUCCGUUAAUAUUAGUGAAGUGCCUGGAGUAAGCCUUCCCAUAGCUCUAUGUAAGCAGCUGUUAAAGUAAAAAUUUUGAAGCCUUUAUUAUGUGAGAACUUAAACUUAAACCUCCUCCCAUGUUAAGUAAGGACCAGGGAACUAUUAAGCUUCCCCCUAAGGGAACCAUUUACGACCACAGCCCUUUCUGGGUCAGGAAGGGCAUGUUGAUUUGAAAGUCCCCUAACGUGUUAAUGGAUGCUAACAAAAGACUUCCUAUUCAGGAAGCAAAGGACACCUGGGGCUGACCACCCUCACUCUUCACUGAUGUUUCCUGCUUUUGUUAAAUAUAAAGUAAAUAAAUCAAAAUAAACAAAAAGAAAGCCAAUAACAACAACUACCAAACAUCAGUAUAUCCUUUUAGUUGCUAUGGCUCCUUAAAGGACUGGAGAAUUGUCUGGAAGCAAAAUCAGUUGACUCCUAAACUCUUAAGAGAUUUUAUUGCUAUUAUGGUGCAGAAGAAGUGCUAAAGAGCCAUAUCACCUAGCUCAACAGCGUGGAAAUUGGAAACGCUGUCUUGUAAUGUCUGGAUAGGGAAGACAAGAGUCUAUGACCUGAAAGAGAGGGGGACAGAGAAUAUAUUUCCAUUUGCCAAUUACAGACACAUGUCCAGUGCAGAUGAUUGUCUUUAUGUUUUCUAACUUGGACCAUCAAACAUCCUUUCAUUCCACAGUCUUCCUCAGAUUAGCAUCUGGUGUCCUUGUUUUGCAUCCUCUCUUCACCUUGCCUUGAGUCUUCAAAGCCAACUUUAAAUGGACUGUUUUUCCUUAGCCUUCCCCUUAAUCAUAAUAAUUAAAAAGUCCAUGAAAUUAUGGUUUUGAUAACUUUUUUCUAAAAAUCAUACUAAAACAAAUAUAUAACUAUUUAAUUUUUUAAAAGUUUGUCCACAUCUCUCCUACAAUCUCUUGAACUACCAGGGUUCUGAUCUAAGAGAAGCUAGAAUCUACAGAUGUUAACACAACUCCAUGGAGGCCUGAAGCAAGAAGCUUCAUAGGGUGUGAAGGGGCAGGUGGGCCAGGCAGCAGGUGAAGGCCAUGCUCUAGAAGUGAGAUGCUGGGCAGGUCUCUCCUUUCUCCAUGCAUAAAGCAGAUGGGGAAAUGAUGGGGUGAGAAUUCACUUAGGGCUACGAAUUGCUGGGAGGUGUUUUGGGUAGCAACGAAAAACAAGUAACAGCAACAAAGAAGGCUGGACAAAAUCAUGUAUACUAUCGAACUGAAAUCUCAGCAGCAAUAACUUGAGGACCCAGGAAACUGCCAAGUCCUCAAAAGCCUUGACUUUCAGAGCUCUUGCCGGAGUAGCAAUAGGAGUGGUGGGAAAUCAAGAAAGUCAGACAUUCCAGAGUGUCCUAAAAAGAGUGUCAUCAAAAGCAUCUGAGCAUGGGAUCGAUGCUGGGCUAAAGGACUACGGAAUCCACAAGGAGCUGAAGGACGGGAGAAGCAGGAGGGCCUAUGGGUCAGUAUGGGCUGAGGAAGGUGUUCAGUGAGUAUAGGUGUGUGAGAAGAUCAAACAGACAAAGUAACAGACACACGCACACACAGAGCCAUACAGAGACACACACCUUUCUUUCUAAGAUUUUUUUUUAAGUCUAUAGAACUUUGAAUUGAUUUGACAUCCCCUCUUUAAAUAAGAGGGGACAUUCCCUCUUUUGAUAUAAGCUCUGAAAUGCAUAAGAAAUUCCUUGUAAAAAUUUACAGUCUUUUUGAAUGGAUGUUUUUUAAUAUUUUCAAUUACAGAUUUAUGGCAGAAUUUUUCAUAGGCCUGAAUUGUCUGUUUAAUAUUAAAAUGAUUUUUGUAGGGAGCCAUCUGUUAUAUGAUCAGGCAUGGAAAUUCUUUACAGGGCUUUCCAUCAGCACUCCUCCAGUGUUUGUCAUGCUUCAAAUAUCCCCAGGCACUUGUGUUUCCAUUUAGAGGAGCAAGGUAAAGGACUCAGAGGCAGGACAUGAUGUCUCCUCGAUUGUUCAGCAGCUGUUACUGAAAACACUGUGUUCGGCAUAUGUUUUUUCCCCAACCUAAGCUCAAUGUUUUCCUUUACUAUGACAAAACAAUAUCCUGAGAAAAAGGACAGUUUAUUAAUCUUUGAAUCUCGUAUCAGAACAAACUUUGCUCAUUGCACUAAUCAACUCACGUUUUUCUUCAAAGCUGUUUUAUCCUCUAAAAAUGGUAAAACUUCGGCUCAUUUUCCCCAUGAGUACUAUUCCCCUGAGUGCAAUUUCAUCGGAGCUAACUCUAUUUUACCAAGUAGAUUUCAUCUCAAGUGCUCCCUUUGAAUCACUGGGCUGGGAGCUGCCUGAAAAAGAAUGUGGGAAGGAUUUCGAGGGUGAGCUCAGGGUCAGUGGAGAGUACUACAAUUGAUUACUUAUGUCUGCUUUGGGUGUAGAAGUAGUGAGCAUGAGACACAUGUGCCCUUUAUUUGCUGUCUCUGGCCUUUACAGUUUCUAUGUCCCUCAAUUACUGUGCUCAUUAAUAAGCAUUGUGAAAUGGCUGGCCUUGAGGCAAACAUACACAAAAAAAAUCAACCUCUCUAUCUGGGAAACAAGCUUGACCCUGACAUCACAAUAACGUUAACAACAACAAUAAUAGCAGCUACAUUUGUUGAACAUUUGCUGUAAGCCCCACUGUAGGUAAUUUACUAACAUUAAAUCAUUUCAUUUAUUCCCCACAAACUACCACAAUAUACAUAUUAUUCACCCAGAUUUUUGACUAAGUCUCAAAAAAUGAAGUAACUUUACUGAGUUCACCCUUUUGCUCAACACAUCCGCACAAAUUCGUAUUGUUCUGGAUACCUAGAACCAUCACUCCCUUCCAUAACCACUCAGUCAUUUUCCUCCUUACAUUCAAAUCCUAGCAGUCUCUCCCUCUAUACAUAGCUCCUCAUCCUGGAAGACUCCUUGAUAAAGCAGAGAGAAAGACUAGCUUCAGAUCAGCUAAGUUGGACAUUCUCUGAGCCAUGACGCGCUCUUCUCUGUAGCUAUAUUAUUUCACAUGACCCAUUCUUAAUAAUUCAGCCUAACCAUCUGUUUGUUCAAUUCCAUUUAAGAAUUUUUCUUUGUAAUGGUUUUGUCAAUUGUCUGCAUUUUGAAUUUAAUUAAAUUGUUAUAUAUCUCAAUUAGGUAGUCAAUUCAAAACACUUAGUGGAUCCAAUCUGAGCUUUUCAAUAGCUGGUCAAAAUAAAUAAUCAAUGCCAUUCACCUAAUGGUCCUUCCAUGAAAAUUAGCUGUGACCUUAGUGGUAAAAAUAUGGUAAAAUGAUUUAUGGUCAUAUCCCUCUAUAUAAGAGAGAAGCAGACAAUCAUAAUUUUUAAGAGGUGUCUGUGUCCAGUUCCCUGGUGUAGUUCUUAAUGCCAAGAGAGCCAAAAGCCCCCUGUUGAUCACUGGCUUUAAAAUUCUCCAUUAUAGGUGUGAGUUAGCCAAUCGUAUCGUCCCAUCUCAUUUGCCUGGUGAUGUAUAGACUUGACUUUAGUUCCCAUUUACACCUUGCAGAAACCAAUAAUAGUUCUCUUCCUCUUGAAAAAAAAUAAACAGAAAUAUCAAAAGGAAAUACCUUUAUAGGGUGGAGACAGGACUGGAUGAGUUGUGUAUCACUGUUUACAUCCAAAUCAAAUAACGGGAAAGAAAACAAUUAGUCAAGUUCAUACUCUAGGUUCUGUUUAAUGUGUCUGUUUUCAAGCCUGUUCAAGCUAUUUUGCCUGAGCAAAGCUUUUGUUUGCCUUCUUAAGGUUUACUUUGCUUUGAGACCUUAGCGCAUGAACUGGUUUGGCAAACUUGUCUCUCUGAGGCAAAACUUGAAAAGCGAGACAUUCAAACACUUGUAAAAUGUAGAUUUUUGCUUUUACUAAAGUCCAUUCCAGGUCUAAUCUAGGUUCACUCUCUUUUACCCAACAGUUCCCUGGGCAGAAAUGUGAUCCUAGCCCAUUCACAAUCUGACUCUUCCGUUUCCCAGGAUGCACAUUAUCUAAUGUUUGAGCUUCAAUGCUGAUUUACCAUUACCAGAACUCUUGCUGCUGCUCGCUCUUUGGGUCCACGCUGCCUUUAGGAGCUGUAACACUCACGGCGAAGGUCCGCAGCUUCACUCCUGAGCCAGCGAGACCACGAGCCCACCGGGAGGAAAGAACAACUCCAGACGCGCCGCCUUAAGAGCUGUAACACUCACCGUGAAGGUCCGCAGCUUCACUCCUGAGCCGGCGAGACCACGAACCCACCAGAAGGAAGAAACUCCAAAGACGUUCAAACAUCAGAAGGAACAAACUCCGGACACGCCACCUUUAAGAACUGUAACACUCACCGCGAGGGUCCAUGGCUUCAUUCUUGAAGUCAGUGAGAUCAAGAACACACCAAUUCUGGACCCAGUAUCUCCCCAUACCCUAACUCCUUUCCCAAAGUAGGCAGAAAAACAGCCCUGUUGUUCCGGUGGAAGCCUUAGCUCUGUAUUCCUUUUAGACUGUAUUUCAAAACGCAUUAUUAGAGCCCCAAAGUCACCUGGUGAAAGAAUGUGAGAGCUGGAAGUGGCCUCAAAAUCCAGUUGAACCCUCUUAUUUCAUAUGUUUGGAAACUGAGCACUAGAAAAGGUAAGUACUGCUUCAAGUCAAUUGCUGACAAAAUGGAUCUAGUCUAUUUCUAUUGCAUGGUGCCUGUUUCCAAAUAAGAUGUGGAGAAAUCUUAACAAUACAAAAUACAUAAGGUAAUACCACAGAAAAAGGCAAACGAGACUAUGGAAUGAGGAGGGAGUCAACUAUGACAGAUGGCACAGGUGGUAAAUUUAGCUCUGAACAUUCUUGAGAUAACCCAGGGCACAUGGUAGCAGUUAGGACUCCUCUCUCCAAAGGUUACUGGUCGUUUUCUUAUAGACUUGUCAGGAAUGCUAUAAAAAUACCAUGGGACACAUGGGGACCAUGGUUGUGUCAACAAAAGAAGAGGUUUACCAAGGCUUUUUUUUUUUUUUUUUUUUUCCUGAGAUCGAGUUUUGCUCUUGUUGCCCAGGCCAGAGUGUGCAAUCUCGGCUCACUGCAACCUCCACCUCCUGGGUUCAAGUGAUUCUCCUGCCUCAGCCUCCAGAGUAGCUGGGAUUACAGGCAUGCACCACCACACCCAGCUAAUUUUGUAUUUUUAGUAGAGAC
rnacentral:lncRNA from 1 species